UACGAAAGGUGCAAGCGUUACUCGGAAUCACUGGGCGUAAAGCGCACGUAGGCGGACUCGCAGGUCAAUUGUGAAAUACCUGGGCUCAACCCGGGAACUGCAGUUGAAACCGCUUGUCUUGAGUACCUGAGAGGGUGGGGGAAUACCUGGUGGAGAAGUGAAAUUCGUAGAGAUCAGGUGGAACACCGGAGGCGAAGGCGCCUGCCUGGCAGUGUAUUGACGCUGAGGUGCGAAAGUGCGGGGAGCAAACAGG
rnacentral:rRNA from 1 species